CAGCAGCCGCGGUAAUACGAAGGGGGCUAGCGUUGUUCGGAUUUACUGGGCGUAAAGCGCACGUAGGCGGAUGAUUAAGUCAGGGGUGAAAUCCCGAGGCUCAACCUCGGAACUGCCUUUGAUACUGGUUGGCUUGAGUUCGGGAGAGGUGAGUGGAAUUCCCAGUGUAGAGGUGAAAUUCGUAGAUAUUGGGAAGAACACCAGUGGCGAAGGCGGCUCACUGGACCGACACUGACGCUGAGGCGCGAAAGCGUGGGGAGCAAACAGGAUUAGAUACCCCAGUAGUCCCUGUCUCUUAUAA
rnacentral:rRNA from 1 species